GAGGAUGCAACGCUGCGCUGAUCGCCUGAUGUCAAUAAUGAAAAUUUUAAAACGGUCCUGUAGUUCUUUCAAUGUGAAAAAGAGCAAAACACUGCAGCAUUGAAGUGGAAGAAUCACAUUUAUUGAGCGGACACAGUCUGGUUGCUGGCGGCGUCGGACACAGUCUGGUUGCUGGCGGCGUCGGACACAGUCUGGUUGCUGGCGGCGUCGGACACAGUCUGGUUGCUGGCGGCGUCGGACACAGUCUGGUUGCUGGCGGCGUCGGACACAGUCUGUUUGCUGGCGGCGUCGACACAGUCUGGUUGCUGGCGGCGUCGGACACAGUCUGGUUGCUGCGGCGUCACACAGUCUGGUUGCUGGCGGCGUCGGACACAGUCUGGUUGCUGGCGGCGUCGGACACAGUCUGGUUGCUGGCGCGUCGGACACAGUCUGGUUGCUGGCGGCGUCGGACACAGUCUGGUUGCUGGCGGCGUCGGACACAGUCUGGUUGCUGGCGGCGUCGGACACAGUCUGGUUGCUGGCGGCGUCGGACACAGUCUGGUUGCUGGCGGCGUCGACACAGUCUGGUUGCUGGCGCGUCGGACACAGUCUGGUUGCUGGCGGCGUCGGACACAGUCUGGUUGCUGGCGGCGUCGGACACAGUCUGGUGCUGGCGGCGUCGGACACAGUCUGGUUGCUGGCGCGUCGGACACAGUCUGGUUGCUGGCGGCGUCGGACACAGUCUGGUUGCUGGCGGCGUCGGACACAGUCUGGUUGCUGGCGGCGUCGGACACAGUCUGGUUGCUGGCGGCGUCGGACACAGUCUGGUUGCUGGCGGCGUCGGACACAGUCUGGUUGCUGGCGGCGUCGGACACAGUCUGGUUGCUGGCGGCGUCGGACACAGUCUGGUUGCUGGCGGCGUCGGACACAGUCUGGUUGCUGGCGGCGUCGGACACAGUCUGGUUGCUGGCGGCGUCGGACACAGUCUGGUUGCUGGCGGCGUCGGACACAGUCUGGUUGCUGGCGGCGUCGGACACAGUCUGUUGCUGGCGUCGGACACAGUCUGGUUGCUGGCGCGUCGGACACAGUCUGGUUGCUGGCGGCGUCGGACACAGUCUGGUUGCUGGCGGCGUCGGACACAGUCUGGUUGCUGGCGGCGUCGGACACAGUCUGGUUGCUGGCGGCGUCGGACACAGUCUGGUUGCUGGCGGCGUCGGACACAGUCUGGUUGCUGGCGGCGUCGGACACAGUCUGGUUGCUGGCGCGUCGGACACAGUCUGGUUGCUGGCGGCGUCGGACACAGUCUGUUGCUGCGGCGUCGGACACAGUCUGGUUGCUGGCGGCGUCGGACACAGUCUGGUUGCUGGCGGCGUCGGACACAGUCUGGUUGCUGGCGGCGUCGGACACAGUCUGGUUGCUGGCGGCGUCGGACACAGUCUGGUUGCUGGCGGCGUCGGACACAGUCUGGUUGCUGGCGGCGUCGGACACAGUCUGGUUGCUGGCGGCGUCGGACACAGUCUGGUUGCUGGUUUCUAGUUGUCCUUCAAUUUUAUUCAACCUGGAAUCCAGCAACUGUGAAAGUUGAAGACCUCUCCUCCAAAUAAAAUCUGUUUCAGGAGGAAAAAGUUUAUGUUUCAAGUCUGCUGUUGAAAUACUUGCAAUCAAUUUCUCACCAUCUCUUCUUCCCAGACGUUCAUAAUCAGCUUUCUGAUUCUCUCGUUCGACUGGUAAGCUCAGACCUGUGAAGAAACAAUUUAAAGGAAAGCUGUAGUCCAACAUCAGCUUUUUUUCCCCUUUAGUCUCUUGACCUUCAACAAUGUUCACAUAGACUGUCCCCACAUACCUUUGCUAAGGCAAACAGCCAGAACAAAAAGAGCCACAAAUGAAUCAGGUCCCAUCUUGACAGACGCUGAAUAAAAAUCCAACAAUCAAGAGAAGCUUUAUAGAGUUCCUCCUGCAGCUCACACAGCUGCUGGUCAUUACAUCUAAUUGUUUUUCUCCUCAGACCAACUUGACUAAGACUUGAUUGACAAUCAGGAAACAUUACAGAGUUUAAAGGUUGUGUCUUGAUUUCUUUAAGUUUAUGUGGUUCCAGGUUUUCUUUAGUAUUUGAUAGUCUUGCAGCA
rnacentral:lncRNA from 1 species